rnacentral:rRNA from 1 species
GGCGAACGCUGGCGGCGUGCUUAACACAUGCAAGUCGAACGGAAAGGCCCUGCUUUUGUGUGGUGCUCGAGUGGCGAACGGGUGAGUAACACGUGAGUAACCUGCCCUUGACUUUGGGAUAACUUCAGGAAACUGGGGCUAAUACCGUAUAGGAGCUCCUGCUGCAUGGUGGGGGUUGGAAAGUUUCGGCGGUUGGGGAUGGACUCGCGGCUUAUCAGCUUGUUGGUGGGGUAGUGGCUUACCAAGGCUUUGACGGGUAGCCGGCCUGAGAGGGUGACCGGCCACAUUGGGACUGAGAUACGGCCCAGACUCCUACGGGAGGAAGCAGUGGGGAAUAUUGAACAAUGGGCGGAAGCCUGAUGAAGCAACGCCGCGUGCGGGAUGACGGCCUUCGGGUUGUAAACCGCUUUCGCAUGUGACGAAGCGUGAGUGACGGUAAUGGGUAAAGAAGCACCGGCUAACUACGUG